UACGGAGGGGGCUAGCGUUGUUCGGAAUUACUGGGCGUAAAGCGCACGUAGGCGGCUUUGUAAGUUAGAGGUGAAAGCCCGGGGCACAACUCCGGAAUUGCCUUUAAGACUGCAUCGCUAGAAUUGUGGAGAGGUAAGUGGAAUUCCGAGUGUAGAGGUGAAAUUCGUAGAUAUUCGGAAGAACACCAGUGGCGAAGGCGACUUACUGGACACAUAUUGACGCUGAGGUGCGAAAGCGUGGGGAGCAAACAGG
rnacentral:rRNA from 1 species